AAAAAAGUACCUUAUAAAUAUAAAGGGUGGCUAUGAUAAAGCUAACAAAGUUUUACUCUUUUUUA
rnacentral:tRNA from 1 species